rnacentral:rRNA from 1 species
GAUGAACGCUGGCGGCGUGCCUAAUACAUGCAAGUCGAGCGAACGGACGAGAAGCUUGCUUCUCUGAUGUUAGCGGCGGACGGGUGAGUAACACGUGGAUAACCUACCUAUAAGACUGGGAUAACUUCGGGAAACCGGAGCUAAUACCGGAUAAUAUUUUGAACCGCAUGGUUCAAAAGUGAAAGACGGUCUUGCUGUCACUUAUAGAUGGAUCCGCGCUACAUUAGCUAGUUGGUAUGGUAACGGCUUACCAAGGCAACGAUGCAUAGCCGACCUGAGAGGGUGAUCGGCCACACUGGAACUGAGACACGGUCCAGACUCCUACGGGAGGCAGCAGUAGGGAAUCUUCCGCAAUGGGCGAAAGCCUGACGGAGCAACGCCGCGUGAGUGAUGAAGGUCUUCGGAUCGUAAAACUCUGUUAUUAGGGAAGAACAUAUGUGUAAGUAACUGUGCACAUCUUGACGGUACCUAAUCAGAAAGCCACGGCUAACUACGUG